rnacentral:tRNA from 1 species
GCCUGGCUGGCUCAGUCUGUUAGAGCACAUAACUCUUAAUCUCAGGGUCAUGAGUUCAAGCCCCAUGUUGGGCG